rnacentral:ncRNA from 1 species
UGAAACCUUCGGGGCGUGGUGAGAGGUUAUUCCUCAAUUCCCGACCGGCGGUGAUCUCACUGAUGUGAGUAAGCCCGCGAGCCGCAAGGCAGGAGUCCGGUGUGAGUCCGGCGCCGACAGUACAGUCUGGAUGGGAGAAGGUUAAG